rnacentral:lncRNA from 1 species
CAUUCAUGAUGAUAUAACACCAAUUUUUCUAAAAUAGAAGACAAAACCAAGUCUUCUAAGGCCUUCUACUAAUGUUCUGAUUUGUAUACUUAACAAGAGUUGUAAAUAUUUCUGACACAGUUCUAUAGACUUAUUCUAGAGAAUGUAAAAGAUGUUGCCAAGCAACACACCUAAGUCUGAGAAGAAUUUAAGCAUUCAUGUGUCUGUCUCAGUUUGGCUUCCAGUCAAGAAGGGUUUCAGUGAAGUCCUAUGUGUGUUUACAGGCCAUUCACAAGAGGAAGUAUUUCUAAAAGGUAAAGCUGAGGACUACCUCUGAGAACCACAACAACACAUCCAUAUCAUCUCCAAGCCACAUCCAAGCCCACCUACACCUCUGAACCUGUGGAGAACCUAAAGUUCCUGUUCAAAAGACAAAACCAAGAUAAGUAAUCAAAGAUGUUACUCUUAACCCUUUCACUAAUUACUUUUGUACCACUUAAAGGAGAAUGCAAUUCCUUUCUAUUGUGGGCACAGGAAUAUGCAGAAUCAUCACAACAAAUAUCUUGCUGGAUAUGUGGCCUGCUUCCCUUGUG